UACAGGGGGGGCAAGCGUUGUUCGGAAUUACUGGGCGUAAAGGGCCAGUAGGCGGCCAACUAAGUCACACGUGAAAUCCCCAGGCUUAACCUGGGAACUGCGUGUGAUACUGCCGGGCUAGAGUCCGGAAGAGGUGAGUGGAAUUCCUGGUGUAGCGGUGGAAUGCGCAGAUAUCAGGAGGAACACCGAUGGCGAAGGCAGCUCGCUGGGACGGUACUGACGCUGAGGCGCGAAAGCGUGGGGAGCAAACAGG
rnacentral:rRNA from 1 species